rnacentral:rRNA from 1 species
AACGAACGCUGGCGGCAUGCCUAACACAUGCAAGUCGAACGAGAUCUUCGGGUCUAGUGGCGCACAGGUGCGUAACGCGUGGGAAUCUGCCCUUUGGUUCGGAAUAACAGUUGGAAACGACUGCUAAUACCGGAUGAAGACGAAAGUCCAAAGACUUAUCGCCAGAGGAUGAGCCCGCGUAGGAUUAGCUAGUUGGUGUGGUAAAGGCGCACCAAGGCGACGAUCCUUAGCUGGUCUGAGAGGAUGAUCAGCCACACUGGGACUGAGACACGGCCCAGACUCCUACGGGAGGCAGCAGUGGGGAAUAUUGGACAAUGGCGAAAGCCUGAUCCAGCAAUGCCGCGUGAGUGAUGAAGGCCUUAGGGUUGUAAAGCUCUUUUACCCGGGAUGAUAAUGACAGUACCGGGAGAAUAAGCUCCGGCUAACUCCGUGCCAGCAGCCGCCGUAA